rnacentral:rRNA from 1 species
ACGAACGCUGGCGGCGCGCCUAACACAUGCAAGUCGAACGAGCGAGAGAGAGCUUGCUUUCUCGAGCGAGUGGCGAACGGGUGAGUAACGCGUGAGGAACCUGCCUCAAAGAGGGGGACAACAGUUGGAAACGACGGCUAAUACCGCAUAAGCCCACGGCUCGGCAUCGAGCAGAGGGAAAAGGAGCAAUCCGCUUUGAGAUGGCCUCGCGUCCGAUUAGCUAGUUGGUGAGGUAAUGGCCCACCAAGGCGACGAUCGGUAGCCGGACUGAGAGGUUGAACGGCCACAUUGGGACUGAGACACGGCCCAGACUCCUACGGGAGGCAGCAGUGGGGAAUAUUGCACAAUGGGGGAAACCCUGAUGCAGCGACGCCGCGUGGAGGAAGAAGGUCUUCGGAUUGUAAACUCCUGUUGUUGGGGAAGAUAAUGACGGUACCCAACAAGGAAGUGACGGCUAACUACGUGCCAGCAGCCGCGGUAAAACGUAGGUCACAAGCGUUGUCCGGAAUUACUGGGUGUAAAGGGAGCGCAGGCGGGAAGACAAGUUGGAAGUGAAAUCUAUGGGCUCAACCCAUAAACUGCUUUCAAAACUGUUUUUCUUGAGUAGUGCAGAGGUAGGCGGAAUUCCCGGUGUAGCGGUGGAAUGCGUAGAUAUCGGGAGGAACACCAGUGGCGAAGGCGGCCUACUGGGCACCAACUGACGCUGAGGCUCGAAAGUGUGGGUAGCAAACAGGAUUAGAUACCCUGGUAGUCCACACCGUAAACGAUGAUUACUAGGUGUUGGAGGAUUGACCCCUUCAGUGCCGCAGUUAACACAAUAAGUAAUCCACCUGGGGAGUACGACCGCAAGGUUGAAACUCAAAGGAAUUGACGGGGGCCCGCACAAGCAGUGGAGUAUGUGGUUUAAUUCGACGCAACGCGAAGAACCUUACCAAGUCUUGACAUCCCUUGACAGACAUAGAAAUAUGUAAUCUCUUCGGAGCAAGGAGACAGGUGGUGCAUGGUUGUCGUCAGCUCGUGUCGUGAGAUGUUGGGUUAAGUCCCGCAACGAGCGCAACCCCUGUGAUUAGUUGCCAGCGAGUAAUGUCGGGAACUCUAAUCAAACUGCCGGUGAUAAAUCGGAGGAAGGUGGGGACGACGUCAAAUCAUCAUGCCCUUUAUGUCUUGGGCUACACACGUACUACAAUGGCUAUAACAAAGAGAAGCGAGACAGUGAUGUGGAGCAAAACUCAAAAAAAUAGUCUCAGUUCGGAUUGAAGGCUGAAAUUCGCCUUCAUGAAGCUGGAAUUGCUAGUAAUGGCAGGUCAGCAUACUACCGUGAAUACGUUCCCGGGCCUUGUACACACCGCCCGUCACACCAUGAGAGUUGGAAAUACCCGAAGCCUGUGAGCUAACCUAUGAGGCAGCAGUCGAAGGUAGAGCCAAUGAUUGGGGUG